rnacentral:rRNA from 1 species
AGACGUCUACAUUAGAUACCCCCGGUAGUCCCAGCCGUAAACUAUGCGCGUUAGGUGUAUCGGUGACCACGAGUCACCGAGGUGCCGAAGGGAAACUGUGAAACGUGCCGCCUGGGAAGUACGGUCGCAAGGCUGAAACUUAAAGGAAUUGGCGGGGAGCACCACAACGGGUGGAGCCUGCGGUUUAAUUGGACUCAACGCCGGGAAGCUCACCGGAUAAGACAGCGGAAUGAUUGCCGGGCUGAAGACUCUGCAUGACUAGCUG